UUAAGGUCUAUCCUAGAAGCUACUCUUAUAUUCUUCACCAUUAAGUAGUAGAAGCAGCCUUGUAGACGUCUUUUUGCCAUCUUCACCGCGUUUCUAGAACUUUUGCAACUCUUAUUUAAAUCCAAACACUCUUAAGAAAUCCUCCUUAUCUUCCAAUUUUUAAUACUAUAUAUACUUUCGUAAGUCCAUAAAUUUCAACACACUUUCGAAUAUUUGAUUUUAUUAUAUAUUGUUCAACUCUAUAAUCUAUCUUCAGCAAAGAAAAUGAGUGAUCCUAAGUAUCCGUAUUCGUAUCCUGCUCAAGGUUAUUAUCAAGGACCUCCGGUAAUGGCACCUCCUCAAUAUCAGUAUGCUCCACCGCCGCCACCACCACCACCGGCUCAAAAACAACGAGGCUUUCUCGAAGGAUGCCUUGGUGCUCUAUGUUGCUGUUGUCUCCUGGAUGAAUGUUGCUGUGAUCCAACAAUUAUUUGCAUUGAUUGAGAUUUACUAGAAGCCUAGAAACAAUGUUUACAGAAUCCAUAUUUUAAUGUAACCAUUAAUUGAUGUAGAUAAUUUUUCUGGAUGUGACUCAGUUGAUAAUGGACUACUUUUAUGAUUUCAUUAAUGCACAAAUUUAAUGUA